UACAAUGGCGUAAACAAAGGGAAGCGAGACGGUGACGUUAAGCAAAUCCCAAAAAUAACGUCCCAGUUCGGAUUGUAGUCUGCAACUCGACUACAUGAAGCUGGAAUCGCUAGUAAUCGCGAAUCAGAAUGUCGCGGUGAAUACGUUCCCGGGUCUUGUACACACCGCCCGUCACACCAUGGGAGUCGGAAAUGCCCGAAGUCAGUGACCUAACCGAAAGGGAGGAGCUGCCGAAGGUGGAGCCGGUAACUGGGGUGAAGUCGUAACAAGGUAAC
rnacentral:rRNA from 1 species